rnacentral:lncRNA from 1 species
GUGCUGCAUUAGUCAGACGAUUUAAUAAAAAGAAACACAUUUUUGAAAAUGUGUUUAUUAGCAGUCUAGUCAGUUUAGAUUGGAAUCUUGAACAGUUUUAAUCUGAUUUAAUCGAGGAAAACAGAAUGAAGAGACUAGAUGUUCUUCAAAUCUUGGCAGAAAGGAAUGAAAGAAGAAAACGCGAACUGGAGCUCAAUGGUUUACCGUCAGAAAGCAAUGAUUGUUUGCCCAUAACCCAAAAUUUUUCAGACUCCAUCCUCGUUGAAUCAUCAUCCCAGAGUGCUUCGUCAAAAAGUAGUAGACAGGAAGAAUUAAAUCGUGCUACAGUUCUGGAUAUUUUUUAUGACACACACGUUUAUCGUUUUUAUUCAGAAGGGCAAUCAAUUACAACGAUCACUGAAAACCUGCAAAUUAUCAUGUGAUAUUUGUUCUUUCUAAUGUCAGUGACAACAAGCAAAGAUGUGGCAGAAGUGUGUCUUAAGAUUCUUUCAGAAAAAAUAUCAGUUAAAACUCAACAAUUCUGUGCUAUUGAAGUGCCUGAUUUACUUAUAGUCCUGAUGAAUUUUGGUACUGUUCUAAGUAAGCUUUGGCCUGCGGCUUUGGACAUUUCUUUUCCUCGCCCAUUCCGGAAAUUUUCCAUGAACAGUUUCGAUUCGGAAAAACAUCAUGUCCCUUACCCUCGCUUUCUAUUUGGAGAAAAUAUUGUCUCUUCAGUUUCAAUGUGUAAAUCCCUAUUUUUCCGAGAACGAGAAAAUUGGAAUGUGCAACCUUUUGCUAAAUCUUUACAUGGCCAAUUUUAUAGCUGGAGACACUUUUCUAAUAACUCACAAAAUCAGAGACAUUAUAUCACAUAUACUUGAAAGUUUUACAGUAGAGGAAUGGAGUGAACUUAAUUUCAAAAUGAUUGAAGAACUUGUUUUGCAGCGUUGGAUUGAGAACCUGGAACCUACAGCGAUUGUUCAACGGAUUACGUACAGUAUACCAACGACUACAAGCCGUGGAGUGAUGUUUCAGCAGUCUGCCGCCUACUUUGCGAUACAACAUCUCAUGAAUUUGGAAGAAGUUGACCUUCCCGGCCGUGUUUCGGUGAAAGACGUAAAUCGAUUGGUUGAUUUGUUAAGUCGGCAAAAAAUUAUCGGACGUUCAGCAUAGUUACUUUGCUCCGUUUAACCUUGGACGUUAAUGAUCCGUCGAUAAAAAAAAAAGAAAUGAAAAAUCUUCACAUAAAGUUGAGCGAAGUCCGUCAUGGAAUCAAUGAUCUUUCGGAUAAGUUGGAUACAACUCCAAUGCUUGUUAAAGAUUUAAUGUGUGAGAUUUCGCUCUUCUGGAAAAACUCCAUUCCUAUUGAUAAUGUUGUGCGAGUAAAUUAAACAGCUGCCAACCGACGAUGGGCUCCCAUUUAUUUUCCAACGACCACCAGUAUCCUUUCCGGUUGUAUAGAAGAUGAUGAAAACGUGUAGUGCCUUACACUUUUCAGUGAUAGAUUCUGAUAUAAUUAUUUUUCUAUUGUUUAUUGAUGCCACUUGGAAUACUAACAGAUUCAGCGUCUUUUCAAAUA